rnacentral:rRNA from 1 species
GGAGUUUGGGCCGUGUCUCAGUCCCAAUGUGGCCGUUCACCCUCUCAGGCCGGCUACUGAUCGUCGCUUUGGUGGGCCGUUACCCCGCCAACUGGCUAAUCAGACGCGGAUCCAUCUCGCACCGAUAAAUCUUUUACCUCAGCCCCAUGCAGGGCCGUGGUCUUAUGCGGUAUUACCAGCCGUUUCCAGCUGCUAUCCCCCUGUGCGAGGCAGGUUAUCCACGCGUUACUCACCCGUCCGCCACUAAGUUAAAGAUCCAUCCGAAAAUUUCUCUUUAACCCCGUUCGACUUGCAUGUGUUAGGCACGCCGCCAGCGUUCAUC